UACGUAGGGUGCAAGCGUUGUCCGGAAUUAUUGGGCGUAAAGAGCUCGUAGGCGGUCUGUCGCGUCGGCUGUGAAAACCCGGGGCUCAACCCCGGGCCUGCAGUCGAUACGGGCAGACUAGAGUGCGGUAGGGGAGACUGGAAUUCCUGGUGUAGCGGUGAAAUGCGCAGAUAUCAGGAGGAACACCGGUGGCGAAGGCGGGUCUCUGGACCGUAACUGACGCUGAGGAGCGAAAGCGUGGGGAGCGAACAGG
rnacentral:rRNA from 1 species